rnacentral:rRNA from 1 species
UACGGAGGGUGCAAGCGUUGUCCGGAAUCACUGGGCGUAAAGGGCGCGUAGGCGGCUCAUGAAGGCUGUGGUGAAAGUCCGGGGCUCAACCUCGGAUCGGCCGUGGCGACUCGUGGGCUGGAGCACUGUAGAGGCAGGUGGAAUUCCGGGUGUAGCGGUGGAAUGCGUAGAGAUCCGGAAGAACACCAGUGGCGAAGGCGGCCUGCUGGGCAGUGGCUGACGCUGAGGCGCGGACAGCGUGGGGGAGCAAACAGG